rnacentral:rRNA from 1 species
UGGGAGGCUUUGAAGCGUGGACGCCAGUCUGCGUGGAGCCGACCUUGAAAUACCACCCUUUAAUGUUUGAUGUUCUAACGUGGAUCCGUAAUCCGGGUUGCGGACAGUGUCUGGUGGGUAGUUUGACUGGGGCGGUCUCCUCCUAAAGAGUAACGGAGGAGCACGAAGGUUGGCUAAUCCUGGUCGGACAUCAGGAGGUUAGUGCAAUGGCAUAAGCCAGCUUGACUGCGAGCGUGACGGCGCGAGCAGGUGCGAAAGCAGGUCAUAGUGAUCCGGUGGUUCUGAAUGGAAGGGCCAUCGCUCAACGGAUAAAAGGUACUCCGGGGAUAACAGGCUGAUACCGCCCAAGAGUUCAUAUCGACGGCGGUGUUUGGCACCUCGAUGUCGGCUCAUCACAUCCUGGGGCUGAAGUAGGUCCCAAGGGUAUGGCUGUUCGCCAUUUAAAGUGGUACGCGAGCUGGGUUUAGAACGUCGUGAGACAGUUCGGUCCCUAUCUGCCGUGGGCGCUGGAGAACUGAGGGGGGCUGCUCCUAGUACGAGAGGACCGGAGUGGACGCAUCACUGGUGUUCGGGUUGUCAUGCCAAUGGCACUGCCCGGUAGCUAAAUGCGGAAGAGAUAAGUGCUGAAAGCAUCUAAGCACGAAACUUGCCCCGAGAUGAGUUCUCCCUGAGACUUA